rnacentral:rRNA from 1 species
UACGGAGGGUGCAAGCGUUGUCCGGAAUCAUUGGGCGUAAAGCGCACGUAGGCGGUCUGUUAUGUCGGAUGUGAAAGCCCUUGGCUCAACUGAGGAAGUGCAUCCGAAACUGGCAGGCUAGAGUACUAAAGAGGAUCGCGGAAUUCCCGGUGUAGAGGUGAAAUUCGUAGAUAUCGGGAGGAACACCGGUGGCGAAGGCGGCGAUCUGGGUAGAUACUGACGCUGAGGUGCGAAAGCGUGGGGAGCAAACAGG